AGAGUUUGAUCAUGGCUCAGAACGAACGCUGGCGGCGUGGAUAAGACAUGCAAGUCAAACGGGACUUACGAGUAGUAAUACUUUGUAAGUCUAGUGGCACACGGGUGCGUAACACGUGAGUAAUCUGCCGAAAAGUGGGGAAUAGCUUGCCGAAAGGCAAAUUAAUACCGCAUGUGGCUACCGGGGACAUCCUCGGGACGCUAAAGCCGUAAGGCGCUUUUCGAUGAGCUCGCGGCCUAUCAGCUAGUUGGUGAGGUAAUGGCUCACCAAGGCUUUGACGGGUAGCUGGUCUGAGAGGACGACCAGCCACACUGGAACUGAGACACGGUCCAGACACCUACGGGUGGCAGCAGUCGAGAAUUUUUCACAAUGGGGGAAACCCUGAUGGAGCGACGCCGCGUGGAGGAUGAAGGCGUUUUCGUCGUAAACUCCUGUCAAACGGGAACAAGAAAGUGAUAGUACCGUUAGAGGAAGGGACGGCUAACUCUGUGCCAGCAGCCGCGGUAAUACAGAGGUCCCAAGCGUUGUUCGGAUUCAUUGGGCGUAAAGGGUGCGUAGGUGGCAUGGUAAGUUGAAGGUGAAAUCUCGGAGCUCAACUCCGAAACUGCCUUCAAUACUGCUGAGCUCGAGGACUGUAGAGGAGAAUGGAAUUCACGGUGUAGCAGUGAAAUGCGUAGAUAUCGUGAGGAAGACCAGUGGCGAAGGCGAUUCUCUGGGCAGUUCCUGACACUGAGGCACGAAGGCUAGGGGAGCAAACGGGAUUAGAUACCCCGGUAGUCCUAGCAGUAAANCGGUGCACGUUUGGUGUGGGAGGAUUCGACCCCUUCCGUGCCGGAGCUAACCGCGUAAACUGCCGCCUGAANACCNCG
rnacentral:rRNA from 1 species